rnacentral:ncRNA from 1 species
UAUAAUAAUGUAGGUAAGGGAUAUCGGCAAAUUAGAUCUUUAGAAAGGAUUGGCUCUAAGAACUGAGUCGGAUCGGACGUGCUGUUACGUGAAGUAUGCUAUGGUUGAAUCGAAGCAGUGCAAAACUAUUUAUAAACAGAGGGUUCCCGUGGACGUUGACUGUCUCUGAUUUCUGCCCAGCGCUCUGAAUGUAAAAGUGAAGAAAUUCAACGAAGCGCGGGUAAACGACGGGAGUAACUAUGACUCUCUUAAGGUAGCAAAAUGCCUCGUCAUCUAACUAAUGACGCGCAUGAAUGGAUUAACGAGAUUCGCACUGUCCCUAUCUACUAUCUGGCGAAACCACAGCCAAGGGAACGGGCUUGG